GUUUNCGUCUUAGCUCAACCAGUAGAGCACAUGGCUUUUAACCAUGUGGUCUGGGGUUCAAUUCUCAUAGAGGACG